CACAGCGCCCUUCGUGCCACGCAGCCGGGGCUGCUCCCAGGCCUUCCUGGUGCGUUCAGCCGCCCGCGCCUCGCCCACCCCGCCAGCUUUGCCCCAGCGCUCCUUCGGCAGGGAGCGAACGAAUAAACGUCAAAUAGAAGGGAGAAGGGAGUGCGGGGAGGGUAUGAUAAAGAGGGCUGAGACCUUCAGACACCAGUCGUGCUCACCCAGCCGAGGCCGCUGCCUCCCCUCCAGCUGCGCGGAAGCUCCUGCAGGCUCAUGUCCUCAAGCAGCCCCACCGCCUCCUGCUGUGCAGCUCGGUGUCACGAGCACUCAGUUCUUGCUUGCUCCCCUCUGCACCUCUCCAUCCUUCCGGCCAGGUAGCGCAAGCUCCCUAUCUCUGCGCCAUAUCUGCUCUGGACGUGUUCUGGCCUCACCUAAAACACCACAAGUUGACCGCUCGUGCACUCAGAGCUCAAACUGCCUGCUCGGCGGGCACAGCAGGUGACCUGAUUUUGAUGAGGAGCCAGAUAAGCAGGGACCUGUUGCGUGGAGGCAGAUAGCAACAAGGCUGGGCCUUGCCAAGGAGCCUGGGUUUGUCGUUCGGAAACUCUACCCCAUGCUAUCAGGUGUCAGCGUGCUGGAAGGAGCCCAGCGUGAAGUCAGGCAGCCUACCUGCCUGGAAAAAGCCAGGGAGGCGAGUGCCGUGAGUUCAUGGCAAUCAGGUACCACCACCUGGCAGCUAACAGCCACGAGAUGAAUUACAGCAACGAUUAGGGGAGUGAUCUGGUUCGAGUGGCAGGGCUUCAGUCUGAACAUGUUCCUACUUAGCUUACACAUUUCAUUUGCAGGCAGAUGUCAAGCUGGAUGUUGCUAGGAGAAUGACAGCAGGGGAAUAAUUAAGUCUGAUUAAAUCCUAUCAUAUUGCCACGCUGCUUUCUGGAACGCUCUGGAGCUUUCCCAGCGAAACUGACCAAAUGCAAGGGCAAGAACUGUGGCACAUCCUGGUCCACACAAACCCACUUGCAAUCGACUCGCUAAGCCCUGGGACGGAGCCCCUGUCUGCCCACGUGUUUGCAGAGCAUGUCCCACAGCAUCGCUGGCCUGCAGGCUGGAGGAAGGGCUCGGGGAGAGGACACACCGCAGCUAUGUCAGCAGGACCAGGAGCAGGUGGUGCCUGUGGGUGUCCCACACCCAGCUGCCCUGCAUCAGCCCCGCCAGCUGCCCCGGGCACUCACAUCGGUCUGGGUACAACCCAGUGCCCACAUAACAUGCAUGGGCCAAAGCUCUCCUCUGGUUCAGCCUCUUACAUCCUGAUAGGGCUGGGCCACAUCCUGGAGACCUUCAGCAGAACUUCCCCCUUCCCUUCCUCUGAAAGCAGGCUGGCACAUCAAAACCGCUCCGCAAACGCAGCUUGCGCUUGGUGUUGUCAACCACAGGCACUUCCUCUGCAGCAGCACCUGUUUGCCUUUUUGUUUGGUAAGGUCAAACAUCACAAGGUGUGACACGUCAAGGUGAAUAACAGCGAUGUGCUCUUUUCUCAGCAGUAAAUAAAGUUGUGCUGUAACUAUCCGCACCGGUUGCCACACACACAUCUGUCUCCAGGCUCCCUCCACAGCGAGCCUGCUAACCUCAUUUGACUCUCUGCCCUAUAGAAAUUCUCACUCUAAUACUCACACUGUAAUCCUUCCCCCCAAAUUACAUGUCAUCGCAUCAGCCAUGAUACUAAUUAAUGUAAUACAUUAUUAUUAAUUAAAUGCCACUAAAUACCACA